AAGUUAAUUAAAUUAGGUGGUUAUAGGCUUAGUUUGGUAUUAAGGUCUAUUUAACGCUAUUAGAUAAAAUGGAGUUGAGGAAAAAACAUAUAGAGAUAUGUUUUUGCGUUCUCAGGUGAAAUUGUAGAAAAUAUACCGUAAUCGAUUCAUCGCGAUAUGCGGAACGCAAUAUUACGUACGGAAACAAACAUGGUAUUUUUACAACGUACUUUCUCACCGCAUGUAACGCAAUCUCUCCAUAAUUCCAAACGAAGCCAUAGUAGGGGAUUUCUUA
rnacentral:lncRNA from 1 species